rnacentral:rRNA from 1 species
CCUACGGGUGGCAGCAGUGAGGAAUAUUGGUCAAUGGACGCAAGUCUGAACCAGCCAUGCCGCGUGCAGGAAGACGGCCCUAUGAGUUGUAAACUGCUUUUGUACGAGGGUAAACUCAGAUACGCGUAUCUGUCUGAAAGUAUCGUACGAUUAAGGAUCGGCUAACUCCGUGCCAGCAGCCGCGGUAAUACGGAGGAUUCAAGCGUUAUCCGGAUUUAUUGGGUUUAAAGGGUGGUUCGGCGGUCGGAAAAGUUAGUGGUGAAAUCCCGAGGCUAACGUUCGGAAUUGCCUCUGAUACUGUUCGGCUAGAGAGUAGAUGCGGUAGGCGGAAUGUAUGGUGUAGCGGUGAAAUGCUUAGAGAUCAUACAGAACACCGAUUGCGAAGGCAGCUUACCAAGCUACGACUGACGUUGAGGCACGAAAGCGUGGGGAGCAAACAGGAUUAGAUACCCUAGUAGUC